GCGCUCAUAGCUCAGCUGGAUAGAGCACUUGGCUACGAACUAAGGGGUCGGGAGUCCGAAUCUCUAUGAGCGCACCA
rnacentral:tRNA from 1 species